AGAGUUUGAUCAUGGCUCAGGACGAACGCUGGCGGCGCGCUUAACACAUGCAAGUCGAGCGAGAACCAGGUCUUCGGACCUGGGGACAGCGGCGAACGGGUGAGUAACACGUGAGUAAUCAACCCUCGGCACCGGGAUAGCCCGGGGAAACCCGGAUUAAUACCGGAUGGCCCAUCCGCUUUUCGGAGCGGCUGGAAAAGGUAGCUUCGGCCUCUGGCCGAGGACGAGCUCGCGGCCGAUUAGCUUGUUGGUGGGGUAAUGGCUCACCAAGGCUCCGAUCGGUAGCUGGUCUGAGAGGACGAUCAGCCACACUGGGACUGAGACACGGCCCAGACUCCUACGGGAGGCAGCAGUGGGGAAUCUUGCGCAAUAGGGGAAACCCUGACGCAGCGACGCCGCGUGCGGGAAGAAGGCCUUCGGGUUGUAAACCGCUUUCAGGAGGGACGAAGCUACUCGGGUGAAUAGCCCAGAGGGUGACGGUACCUCCAGAAGAAGCCCCGGCUAACUACGUGCCAGCAGCCGCGGUAAUUC
rnacentral:rRNA from 1 species